GGGGGUGAUGAGGGGGCUGAAAUCAGCAGAGAGGUCAAAACGGACAAGCUCUAGGCCAGUAGGACCUUGUGACAGUGUGUUGUGUUCCCGGACCGGGCUUUGAGAAGUGACUGGAUCCAGAGACAGCAAACACAAAGCUGCUGGUUCAGGGCUGGCCUCAAAAGCCAACAGCCGGACACUGGAACAUGGAACAGCGGAGGGGGAGGAGAGCAAACAAGGGAAGACUUAACAAAGGAAAUGAAAUACAAAGUAGAAACAGAGCUAU